AAGGAGAGCCUUUGUGUUAACGACCCAGCACUCAUGUGUCCAGUGGCUUCUACACAAGGCAGCCCCUCAUGAGCCAUCAACAGCAGGAACACUUAUCCCCCAGAGGGGGCUGAACGCACCAGAGUGGUGCUCUUGUAGUUCUGGGUGUAGACGGCGCCGCUGCUGGACAGGAUGAGGAAGCCCUUCUCCGAGCACACAACCUGGGCCACGCCGACGCUGGACAGCGCCUUGCACUGGAUGGGUCCGUUCACGUUGGCGUACAGCUUCCAACCCAGCAGGCCCCAGGCGAUCACCUCCUGCAGGGUUCCCUGUGGCCCGUGGACAAUACGGAGGGUUGGAUGGGGCUGUGGUUGUUGAACUUUACACCCUGACCGCGACACUACCCUGUGUUGGCCGUGUACCUCUGGCUGGUCGUCGGGUAUGGGCUCCUCCUUGUUGUUGUGAAUGCUCUGGAAGCGCUGGAGGAGGGGCAGCAGUGGGGCGCUGGUGCCCUGCGUGGAGCGCUCGUUGUCCAUCUCCCGCGUGCCGUUGCCCCACAGACGCAGCAGCAGCAGCACCGCCGACAGCAGCUGGCUGGAGGACGGUGGGACCCAGAGGAAGAGAGUACUGUCUAUUGGACCACAGUGACAGCAGGACCGCUGGCCACAUGAGUAUGACUACAACAGCGUGUUCCCCUGUCCUGAUUGGUUCGGAUAAGAGCCAUGAGAUGUCACUCGCCAUGUAUUAGUGUGCCAUCACAAUGUGGGCGUAUCUAUGUAGCAUCGGGCAGCAAGAGGUCACGUCAACACGCGAGAUUGGACACUCCACUCCAGUUGUGAAGUCACAAAAGCGGACGAUUUUGAAACGGAUUAUAAUGCCUCACAUCCGAAAAAGCAGGGUAGAACCAAGCCCUACCUCAGGGUCCCCCUCUGCACAGCCAGCUCCAGGAGUAUAGCCAGAGCAAGGUGCUGGUCCUGCAGGGGAAUGUUGCCUUUGGCACUGGCACUUCCAUGGACAUCACUGGUUCCCCGCAAGACGGCAUCAGAACACAUGACACACAGGUUACACACAUAUCACCACAAUGAGUGAAUGAAAGAAAAAAGUAUUUGGAAGUGCACUGAAGUACGCGGCGCUGUAUUGUAGCACGCUGUGGGUAUGGAGCCUCUCUCGUCGGCACCUCACCUGAGGAACUUGGCGGCCCGUUCGACCACCUCCAGCCACACGGAGGAGACUGUGCCCUCGUCGAACAGUGUGGCCUCGGGCAGGGCCCGCAACGCGUCCAGAGACUCCUGGAGCAGCUCGCUGCACAGGUCUGCAUCGUCCCCUACACCACCACAAUCAGGGGUUAAAGAAAGCCUGGACUGGGGUUUCAUAGAGGGGCACUUUGGUGCUUUAGAUCAGAAACAGUCUGUGUUCAUAUAGCACAAUCCGACCGGCAUGGCCCUUCAUAGCGACUCAAGGUCAUAGUGAUUAACAGUAAAUGCCUCACAUUCAAACACCAAAACACAUUCACAGACACUUUCCGCAUUCAUACACUGGCUCUCACACACGCAGGCAGUUUUUCAGCUGUUAAACACUUUUUUUUUUUUGGGGGGGGUUGAAUGACUUGUUCAAGGGCACUGCAGCCCUUUGUGCAAAGAGAAGCAUGGAUAUUCAACCGGCAACCUCCUUUGUUGGCCUAAGAAGAGCUCUAGCCCUGAUUAUAGAACAUAUCAUAAGUUCAAGCUCGGAGAUAAGCAAAGCUCCUAGGAACCGAACAACUGAAAACUGUCAAAAUACUUCAAUAUAUUUAAACAGUACUAUCUAAAUUAGGGGUGAAAAAAAUACUAAAUCUGGUUAUUUUUUACCUACUUUCAUAGUGUGUUGUAAUGCAAACUGCAUUGAUUAUUGCAUUGUUCAUAGAAAGUCAUAUUUGUGACAAAAGCUUUUUCUCUAAUAAAAUAUUAGAUAAGCUAAUUCAUCUCUUGAUUUCUUUAAUGAUCAUCAGUAGGAAGUGAUUAGCAAACUCUGAGGAGCAAACUCAGAUGUAUAGAUAUAUCUUUGAAAAUCACACAUGGAAAUGUUCAUAAAAAAUGCAUCGAUAAUCGGUUUAGAACGAAUCGUUGACCUCUGAAUCGGAAUCGAAUCCUGAGGUGCCAAGAGAUUCCCACCCCUUAUC
ensembl:lncRNA